rnacentral:lncRNA from 13 species
CGCCGCUGUGUUUCGUCAACACUCCUUCCUUCUGCAGAAGACAUGAGUCCCCUUGAGACUGCCCCAAGCUUUUCUCCCCCAGCUUUCACUCUCUUACUCUCCCCCUCUCUCUGUCCCCUUUUCCAACCUCUCUCGGUUUUUCUAUUCCUCCACAAUAAUCUUUGACAGAGAGCGAAAGGACAGAGAAGACAUUUUCAGCUUUGCUUUGUAGGUUUCUUUUGAACAUGAUUGAAAGAGUUGUAUGUGACCAUGCCACUCAAUUCAGUCCUGUGUCAGAUGCUACAUGCCGUUGUCUUGGAUACAGGCAUUUUCCAGAGGAUGGGUCGCCAAUAAUAUCUUCCAGUUUGACCAGUUACUGAUGUGUUCAUUUGAUAUCAAUGUACUGUGAACCAUAACAAUGUCUCAGUGACAGAGAUGGCGGGAGAGAAAGAGAGAGAAAGAGUGAGCGUGGAAUUAAGAGAGAGAGGGAGAAGGAAAGGAAGAAGGAGAGAGUGGGUAAUAAGGAGCAGUGUCUGGGAUACAGAUAAAUGUCUUCCUGCUGUGUCCUCUUCCAUAAAGAGGAUAGAAUGGUCUGCACUGGCGUGGCCGGGCUCUCUCUCUGUCGCCUGGGGAUGGGCCACAGUUACACAAACCCUCUGAGUUCCUCACAUAUUUCACUGUUCCCUGUCAGUCAAUCUCACUGUAACCUGAGCCAGCGUUGGUGAGGACUGAAAUCAGCACAACCCUGACCUGAGCGCCAUGCUCUGGACUGACAUGCCUAAUGAACUUGAUUGGCAAUCUACACUCGCUCUCACUCACUCUAACAACCUAACACGCAGCCAUCACUGGCAGAGCUCACCUCCUAGCAACAUGGACACUCUCUCUUACUCCAACUCUUCCCCCUCCCCCCUGUAACUGUGACCAUCCCAGAACGCCAUACCGACCACCCCACAGGCAAUAACAGCCAUCAUGUGCUUGCAACAUCUACGGUAUCCUGGCAACCACAAUGAUUGGAGUGGUCACAGCUCACAGAGGCCAUGUUGGCUGAGCCAGCCAAUUGACGCAGCCGCAGGUGUUGCUGGUGCUGAUGGUGCCCCCUAGAGACACUACACCCUCCAACACUGUCUGGGAAACCACCCAUAUAUCUUGAGCUGCUUGUUUUCCUGUCACAUGGGCUCCUAGACAGUGUGUAGUAGAGUCCCAUCCCUGUUCCACAUUAGACCCUCAGCAUGGCAACACUAGCCCCAAUGCCUGUCUCCUAGCAACGAUGAUCGCGUCCCCUGGCUGCGUCCCCUGCCCCAGGAGGAAUCUGGUGGUCUGUACACUACCUCUCACAUGGUGCAGUUCUUGGAGGGCAAGUCAAACCCUCACCCCCUGUCACCCACAUCCCCCCUCCCUUUCUCUCACCCCCCCUCUCUCCGUGACUCUUUCUCUCUGCUACUUUCUCUCCCCC